rnacentral:misc_RNA from 1 species
CUUUGAUAGUGUUGAUUCUCUGCAUUAUUUGUAUAUGGGCGUCUCGGAGGACGACGGGAAGAACUCAUGACAAAUUUCGAAUUUCUCAAAUCCCGAAUGUGUCGAAGGAAAUCAUGGUAGAUAGAGUUGGUGGUCAGACUCUGGCGCAGAGUUUUCAUGAUCGUGAAGGGCCUUUCCUUUCCUCGCAUGAAAAAUAUAGUGAACAUGAGUCUAGAAAGAUGCUGUCACAUUUGGCUAGGAGCAAAUCGAGUGAUGCGG